rnacentral:rRNA from 1 species
UACAUGUGGGGCAAGCGUUGUUCGGAAUUACUGGUCAUAAAGGGUGCGUAGGCGGUUUGUUAAGUCACUGGUGAAAGUUUUCGGCCCAACCGGAAAAUUGCCUGUGAUACUGGCGAACUUGAGUGCGUGAGGGGUGGGGGGAACGAGCAGUGUAGCGGUGAAAUGCGUAGAUAUCGGAAGGAACAUCAGUGGCGAAAGCGACUUCCUGGACCAGUACCGACGUUCAGGCACGAAAGCGUGGGGAGCAAACAGG